rnacentral:rRNA from 1 species
UACGGAGGGGGCGAGCGUUAUUCGGAAUUAUUGGGCGUAAAGGGCGCGUAGGCGGCUGGGCAAGUCAAAGGUGAAAUCCCUCGGCUCAACUGAGGAACUGCCUUUGAAACUGCCUGGCUUGAGGCCGGGAGGGGGUAGCGGAAUUCCCAGUGUAGCGGUGAAAUGCGUAGAUAUUGGGAGGAACACCAGUGGCGAAGGCGGCUACCUGGACCGGUUCUGACGCUGAUGCGCGAAAGCGUGGGGAGCAAACAGG